AACAGCCGCGGUAAUUCCAGCUCCAAUAGCGUAUAUUAAAGUUGUUGCAGUUAAAAGCUCGUAGUUGAAUUUCGGGAUCAAUUAAUUGGUCGUGCCUCUGGUACGCACUGGUUUUAUUGGUUUCUCCCUUCUGACGAACCACGAUGUCAUUAAUUUGGUGUCGUGGAGAAUCGGGACUGUUACUUUGAAAAAUUGAGUGUUUAAAGCAGGCUAACGCUUGAAUACAUUAGCAUGGAAUAAUGAAAUAGGACGUUUGAUCCUAUUUUGUGGUUUCU
rnacentral:misc_RNA from 1 species